UGAACCUUACUUUUGAGGUGAAAAGUGA
rnacentral:piRNA from 1 species